rnacentral:rRNA from 1 species
UACAUAGGGGGCAAGCGUUAUCCGGAAUUAUUGGGCGUAAAGAGUGCGUAGGCGGUCUGUUAAGUCUGACGUGAAAUCCCACAGCUUAACUGUGGAGGGUCGUUGGAAACUGGCAGACUUGAGUACGGUAGAGGUAAGUGGAAUUCCAAGUGGAGCGGUGGAAUGCGUAGAUAUUUGGAGGAACACCAGUGGCGAAGGCGGCUUACUGGGCCGGAACUGACGCUGAUGCACGAAAGCGUGGGGAGCAAAC